rnacentral:rRNA from 1 species
AGUGAACGCUGGCGGUAGGCCUAACACAUGCAAGUCGAACGGCAGCACAGUAAGAGCUUGCUCUUACGGGUGGCGAGUGGCGGACGGGUGAGGAAUACAUCGGCAUCUACUUUUUCGUGGGGGAUAACGUAGGGAAACUUACGCUAAUACCGCAUACGACCUACGGGUGAAAGCAGGGGAUCUUCGGACCUUGCGCGAUUGAAUGAGCCGAUGUCGGAUUAGCUAGUUGGCGGGGUAAAGGCCCACCAAGGCGACGAUCCGUAGCUGGUCUGAGAGGAUGAUCAGCCACACUGGAACUGAGACACGGUCCAGACUCCUACGGGAGGCAGCAGUGGGGAAUAUUGGACAAUGGGCGCAAGCCUGAUCCAGCCAUACCGCGUGGGCGAAGAAGGCCUUCGGGUUGUAAAGCCCUUUUGUUGGGAAAGAAAAGCAGCAGGUUAAUACCCCGCUGUUCUGACGGUACCCAAAGAAUAAGCACCGGCUAACUUCGUG